rnacentral:rRNA from 1 species
AUUGAACGCUGGCGGCAGGCUUAACACAUGCAAGUCGAGCGGAGUGAUAGUGCUUGCACUAUCACUUAGCGGCGGACGGGUGAGUAAUGCUUAGGAAUCUGCCAUUUAGUGGGGGACAACAUUCCGAAAGGAAUGCUAAUACCGCAUACGUCCUACGGGAGAAAGCAGGGGAUCUUCGGACCUUGCGCUAAAUGAUGAGCCUAAGUCGGAUUAGCUAGUUGGUGGGGUAAAGGCCUACCAAGGCGACGAUCUGUAGCGGGUCUGAGAGGAUGAUCCGCCACACUGGGACUGAGACACGGCCCAGACUCCUACGGGAGGCAGCAGUGGGGAAUAUUGGACAAUGGGCGGAAGCCUGAUCCAGCCAUGCCGCGUGUGUGAAGAAGGCCUUUUGGUUGUAAAGCACUUUAAGCGAGAAGGAGGCUCUCCUAGUUAAUACCUAGGAAGAGUGGACGUUACUCGCAGAAUAAGCACCGGCUAACUCUGUGCCAGCAGCCGCCGUAACAC